rnacentral:rRNA from 1 species
GUUAUCCGGAAUGAUUGGGCGUAAAGCGUCUGUAGGUGGCUUUUUAAGUUCGCCGUCAAAUCCCAGGGCUCAACCCUGGACAGGUGGUGGAAACUACCAAGCUAGAGUACGGUAGGGGCAGAGGGAAUUUCCGGUGGAGCGAUGAAAUGCGUAGAGAUCGGAAGGAACACCCAAGGCGAAAGCACUCUGCUGGGCCGACACUGACACUGAGAGACGAAAGCUAGGGGAGCAAAUGGG